ACGCGUUGGGAGCUCUCCCAUAUGGUCGACCUGCAGGCGGCCGCGAAUUCACUAGUGAUUCGUAUUACCGCGGCUGCUGGCACGUAGUUAGCCGGCGCUUCUUCUGCAGGUACCGUCACUUUCGCUUCUUCCCUGCUGAAAGAGGUUUACAACCCGAAGGCCGUCAUCCCUCACGCGGCGUCGCUGCAUCAGGCUUGCGCCCAUUGUGCAAUAUUCCCCACUGCUGCCUCCCGUAGGAGUCUGGGCCGUGUCUCAGUCCCAGUGUGGCCGGUCGCCCUCUCAGGCCGGCUACCCGUCGUCGCCUUGGUGAGCCAUUACCUCACCAACAAGCUGAUAGGCCGCGGGCUCAUCCUUCACCGCCGGAGCUUUUAACCCCCACUCAGGAGAGUGGGAGUGUUAUCCGGUAUUAGACCCCGUUUCCAGGGCUUGUCCCAGAGUGAAGGGCAGAUUGCCCACGUGUUACUCACCCGUUCGCCACUAAUCCCCACCGAAGUGGUUCAUCGUUCGACUUGCAUGUGUUAAGCACGCCGCCAGCGUUCGUCCUGAGCCAUGAUCAAACUCUAAUCGAAUUCCCGCGGCCGCCAUGGCGGCCGGGAGCAUGCGACGUCG
rnacentral:rRNA from 1 species